rnacentral:rRNA from 1 species
AACGAACGCUGGCGGCAUGCCUAACACAUGCAAGUCGAACGGAGCCUUCGGGCUUAGUGGCGCACGGGUGCGUAACGCGUGGGAAUCUGCCCUUUGGUUCGGAAUAACAGUUGGAAACGACUGCUAAUACCGGAUGAUGACGAAAGUCCAAAGAUUUAUCGCCAGAGGAUGAGCCCGCGUAGGAUUAGCUAGUUGGUGUGGUAAAGGCGCACCAAGGCGACGAUCCUUAGCUGGUCUGAGAGGAUGAUCAGCCACACUGGGACUGAUACACGGCCCAGACUCCUACGGGAGGCAGCAGUGGGGAAUAUUGGACAAUGGGCGAAAGCCUGAUCCAGCAAUGCCGCGUGAGUGAUGAAGGCCCUAGGGUUAUAAAGCUCUUUUACCCGGGAUGAUAAUGACAGUACCGGGAGAAUAAGCCCCGGCUAACUCCGUGCCAGCAGCCGCCGUAA